rnacentral:rRNA from 1 species
GAUGAACGCUAGCGGCAGGCCUAACACAUGCAAGUCGAGGGGUAGAGGAAGCUUGCUUCCUUGAGACCGGCGCACGGGUGCGUAACGCGUAUGCAAUCUGCCUUGUACUGAGGGAUAGCCCAGAGAAAUUUGGAUUAAUACCUCAUAGCAUUAUGAAAUCGCAUGGUUUUAUAAUUAAAGUUCCAACGGUACAAGAUGAGCAUGCGUCCCAUUAGUUAGUUGGUAAGGUAACGGCUUACCAAGACGAUGAUGGGUAGGGGUCCUGAGAGGGAGAUCCCCCACACUGGUACUGAGACACGGACCAGACUCCUACGGGAGGCAGCAGUGAGGAAUAUUGGUCAAUGGACGCAAGUCUGAACCAGCCAUGCCGCGUGCAGGAUGAAGCAUCUAUGGUGUGUAAACUGCUUUUGUACGGGAAGAAACACUCCUACGUGUAGGAGCUUGACGGUACCGUAAGAAUAAGGAUCGGCUAACUCCGUGCCAGCCGCCGCAGUAACAC